ensembl:snRNA U6 U6 spliceosomal RNA
GUGCUUGCUUCGACAGGACAUAUGCUAAAAUUGGAAGGACACAGAGGUUAGCAUGACCCCUGCGCAAGGAUGACGCGCAAAUUCAUGAAGCAUUCCAUACUUUU